UGCAGUCGAGCGGCAGCACGGGAAGCUUGCUUCCUGGUGGCGAGCGGCGGACGGGUGAGUAAUGCAUAGGAAUCUGCCCGAUAGUGGGGGAUAACCUGGGGAAACCCAGGCUAAUACCGCAUACGUCCUACGGGAGAAAGCAGGGGCUCUUCGGACCUUGCGCUAUCGGAUGAGCCUAUGUCGGAUUAGCUGGUUGGUGAGGUAACGGCUCACCAAGGCGACGAUCCGUAGCUGGUCUGAGAGGAUGAUCAGCCACAUCGGGACUGAGACACGGCCCGAACUCCUACGGGAGGCAGCAGUGGGGAAUAUUGGACAAUGGGCGCAAGCCUGAUCCAGCCAUGCCGCGUGUGUGAAGAAGGCCCUCGGGUUGUAAAGCACUUUCAGUGGGGAAGAAAGCCUCGUGGCCAAUACCCUCGAGGAAGGACAUCACCCACAGAAGAAGCACCGGCUAACUCCGUGCCAGCAGCCGCGGUAAUACGGAGGGUGCGAGCGUUAAUCGGAAUUACUGGGCGUAAAGCGCGCGUAGGUGGCUUGAUAAGCCGGUUGUGAAAGCCCCGGGCUCAACCUGGGAACGGCAUCCGGAACUGUCAGGCUAGAGUGCAGGAGAGGAAGGUAGAAUUCCCGGUGUAGCGGUGAAAUGCGUAGAGAUCGGGAGGAAUACCAGUGGCGAAGGCGGCCUUCUGGACUGACACUGACACUGAGGUGCGAAAGCGUGGGUAGCAAACAGGAUUAGAUACCCUGGUAGUCCACGCCGUAAACGAUGUCGACUAGCCGUUGGGUCCCUCGCGGACUUUGUGGCGCAGUUAACGCGAUAAGUCGACCGCCUGGGGAGUACGGCCGCAAGGUUAAAACUCAAAUGAAUUGACGGGGGCCCGCACAAGCGGUGGAGCAUGUGGUUUAAUUCGAUGCAACGCGAAGAACCUUACCUACCCUUGACAUCGUGCGAACUUGGUAGAGAUACCUUGGUGCCUUCGGGAACGCACAGACAGGUGCUGCAUGGCUGUCGUCAGCUCGUGUUGUGAAAUGUUGGGUUAAGUCCCGUAACGAGCGCAACCCUUGUCCUUAUUUGCCAGCACGUAAUGGUGGGAACUCUAAGGAGACUGCCGGUGACAAACCGGAAGAAAGG
rnacentral:rRNA from 2 species